rnacentral:lncRNA from 1 species
UAAAGAUGCACAUUGAUAUUGUUGCAAGAAGACUUGAGAACUACUCUUGAGCAACACAAGACUAUUUUUAAAAGAAAAAAAGAAGAUAUUCUCAACAUUCUACCCAGCUGGGCUAAAACUUCAGGUUCUGACCCCCAGCUAGAGUGACCACAGAAUGGGAAGAACCAAAGGCCUGUUAUUACAUUGAAGAUCCAGAAGCACCUACUUUUCAUACAUUCUUCCAAGACCAAGCUGAUGUGAAGAGGGAGCAUGCAAAGCAGUUCAUAAAAUAUCUAAGAAAAUAUAAGUGUAAAAUCUGCCUUCCGGUGAUUAAGAGGCCUGAUAUAGAUAACUGGGGAACUGGUAAACAAGCUCUACUGUCUGCUCUGCAGUUGGAGAAUGAGUUAAACAAGCUCCUGCAAGACCUGAAGGCCUCAGCUUCUAGGAACAGAGAAACCAAUCUCUUACGCUUCAUGAAAAAGUUCCUGGAUGAACAGACCAGGAACAUAAAAUAUCUGGAAUACCAGCUUAACUAUCAGAAGGAGUUGGAAAUGUCAACCCAGAGUGAAGGACAGCCUGAAAAUGCCCCCGGAACAUCUGCAGCAGCAGGUCAAGAGACAGAAUCUACAGGCAACUCUCCAAGUCCUCCUGCCCAGAAGGUCCCAAAGUCAUCUCCUUAAGAAUCCUGAUCUCCAUUUGACAGAAGUAUGCUUCUCUUUUCAUCUCAGAUCCUAAUCCUCCUGUUGUACAUGCAAAUAAAUGUGUUUUGCAUUAUG